AUACCGACUCACGCUGUGCAUCUCGUGGCUUCCGCCUGCCCUCGGGCUGAUCGUACAUUCAAAGGUUCAAUACCAAAAUCUGGCGUGCUGAGCUAUGAGCGGCUGCGCUACACAUGUCCGGAACUUCAAACACUGUCAGAUGUCCAGGAAUACUUUAUCCAGACUGGCCUCCCUUAGCUCUGAGAUAUUUUAGGUUAUUUUAUAGCCUAAAUCUUAGCUGGAUCAUCUGCGAAGGGCUGUUCCACAUGGAAGUCCAGAAACUACAGGAUGCUCCAUGGCCUGCCGUUGCUGCUCUGGGAGAACAGGCUUCAGAGCGCCCUGCUGGUGGAGACGCAUUGCAUGUGGCUAUCUGAAGGCACUUACUGCUUGCUUGGCAAGAAAACCGACUCAAAAGCCUUAACUGAAGGGAAACCAAUCAAAAUCCUUCCUGCACCUGCAUAAGGACAAACUCAGGGGACAAAAAGAAACAGCAACCAAGACUCCAAGAACCUGCUCGAGACCAGAGUGACUCAGAAACAAGGAAAGGACCACAAGUCACCAGAAGAAAUUACAAAUCCUGCUCCUACAAAGAAGAACAAAAUUAAAUAUCAACCAUUACUACAGUUUUCUUCAUGCUGAAUCAUACGAAUGAAGACCUUGGAUUAGGGCCUACAGAAGUGAUUCAGCAAGUCACUUACAUAGUUGAAUCAUUACUGACAUUAAAGAUGUUGACUUUCAAAAGUUUAGUAUUUCUGAAGAGUACCUAAAAGGAUGACACUUAUGAAGCUGCUCUUUUUGCAAAGAAUAGUCUGGUAAGAAAGACACAAGUCAGGAAACAGUAACGUUUUAAUUAACGCUGGUGUGUAUGAAGAUAAAUAUUGAAUGGCAACCUGCACACCACCUUAAAGGGAAUAACAUAAGAGGUGAAAACAGACAACAUGAGUCACUGGAGAUGAAAAGAGAGAUUGACAUGGUAGACUGAACAGAUACAAUGGAUCUAGUGAAUGCUGAAGUCGUUUGCUUUCAAGCUUUCCUCUUUUAGUUCUAUCUGCGUCACUUUGACUUUCCUUCAAUUUGUGUGGGAGAAAAGAGGAGGAAUGAAAUUUUGCAAAGAAAACUGCUCAAGAAGUGCAUAGAGAAAAAAAUUCUCAAGGUGAAAUUUUUCCAAAGACUCUUAGUCCCAGAAACAGGGUAACAAACACCCACACAGCUUCUCUAUGAACAGAAAAGAAUCAAAUUCCCCUUGGAGUGAUGAAGUGCCAAUUAAUGCAACAUGAAAACUUAACUUGCAAUUCAACAAGUAUACUACAUUUAGUUACCAGCAGUUGUUACUGAAGCCUCAAGGUCUUCACACAAAUUCCUUUCCUUCUAAAGAAAGCAAGUGAGCGCCAUUUAACCCAUGACCUUAGGGCAGGCUCACCCCAAACAAAAAGGCCAAUGCCUGGGGUAGCACCAACUGCUAUUAUCUAAUCAACAUUCUCACCAUUAUCACAACUCACUCAGUGUGGUAGAAACCCAACAUACCGUAGGUUCAGCAUCUUAACUCCCAUAAAGGCAGAAGACACAUUAUAUUCAUUCCUGCAUUCCUAGAAUCCAACAGUGUUGUCACACAGUUUACAUUCAAUAAACAUUUGAUAAAAUAAAAUGUUACCAUGUAAAAUGUCCGAGUCAUCUUCAA